rnacentral:rRNA from 1 species
GAUCAUGGCUCAGAACGAACGCUGGCGGCAGGCUUAACACAUGCAAGUCGAGCGCCCCGCAAGGGGAGCGGCAGACGGGUGAGUAACGCGUGGGAAUCUACCCAUCUCUACGGAAUAACGCAUGGAAACGUGUGCUAAUACCGUAUACGUCCUUUUGGAGAAAGAUUUAUCGGAGAUGGAUGAGCCCGCGUUGGAUUAGCUAGUUGGUGGGGUAAAGGCCUACCAAGGCGACGAUCCAUAGCUGGU